UUCACCUAAGUUUUAAAGUCCCCAAAUUGAAAAAAACCUAAAUUGACGAAUCUUAGUUUAGAGUGAUGGCUUUUAUCGAUUCUUUCAGUUUUGAGAGAUAAACCGGUGAUCGACAAGAGUUGCAGAAUUCUAUAUUGAGUGUUGUUGUCUCAUCGUUCGUCGUCUUCUUUAUUUCAGCUCUAAGAAACCGAAAAUCAUGGGAAGGACGCUUUUCUUUAGAUUACAUGUUGGAGGAUAUUGGGCAGCGGAUGGUUCAUAUAAUGGUGGUGAGACCAGAUGUUUAAGUCUUGAUUUUGAAUACCCCAGUUUAGCAAUGUUGACAGAUAUGGUUUCGAGUACUGGGUAUGCAGAAAAUAUGAGUAAGUUUUCUUACUUCCCAUCUGGAGUAGUAGGUCAGAAUCGCAAGGAUUUAUGUAGUGAUAGGGAUGUUGCAGAAAUGAUUACAUGUACACAUGAGUUAGAAAGUAUGAAUUUGUAUGUCGUUAGGGCAGAUGAUCCUUAUCUAGAUGAUGUUCUUGUUGGAGAAGGGGAAGAAGAAGAAGAAGAACGGAGUGAUGGAGACAAGGCUGCCAGAAACUGUAAUUUUAGAAUGACAGGAUAAUGCCAGGAAGACCAAAAAACAAUGACCGAAUCAAAGAUCCAAACGAAAAAACUUAUUCUCAGAAUUCUCAAAAAGCUAUAGUGUCAUGUAGUAAUUGUGGACAAACAGGACAUAACAAACGAACAUGUCAAAUAGAGCCAGUUCCUAAACCACCUAACCCGCCUUCAGAAUUUCCUUCUUAUCAUGCCAAAGUUAUUGUGAAAUGUAGCAAUUGUCAACAAACAGGACACAACAAGCGCAAAUGUCAUCUUGAGCCAGUGUCUAAGCCGACAUGUUAUUUUUUUUGUUGCAUCAUGUUUGCUUUUAAUGUUUCACUCGACUUUGUAGUUUUGUUUUGAUAAUUUUUAUGUUCCAGUAGUAUAUUUGGCUUUAUAAUGGUAUUUUGGAUUUU